rnacentral:lncRNA from 1 species
UCUGGGUUCCCCAGGAAGGUGUUGCAGCCCUUACACAGGUCACCCGAAUUUGGCAGUCUCCAAAUAAUGCCAUAAGACAUCCUUAUGGCCAUCUGAAACGUACGGUGCCACUCUCCCGUGCUCCACCCCAGCUGCAGGAGCUGGAGGUCCCUUCCCACCACCACUCGGACCCUCUUGCGAGCAGCUUCCCAGCAGCUCAUGUCCCGGCUGGGGUCUCACGAGAGCGAUGGAGAGUCCCCCAACACCUCCCUGCCUCUCAGGCGGCGAGGCCGUGGGGCAUCCUGCCCUGCCAGGCAGCUUCUCCCCGCUCUGAAGGAAAGCAUCGGAGCCGCGGCUUGGCAGCGGCGAGCGCUUGCUUCCUAUCUGAAGCGGAACUGCUGUUUAGAAACACUGGCGCGUUCUGUAGACCACACAGUAGGUCCUGAGCAGGCUCUCACACACCUUUGCACUGUGAUAAGGGGAGUAUUAUUACUCUAGUAGUGGCCUGUAAAGAUAAGCUCUUUGGGGCGGGCAGUCUGCUUUUUUUUUUCCAAGCUCUCAUUCUGCCGCACCAGUAGCUCCAGAUUCUUUUCCCGGGGAAAUAAGCUGCUUUUUACUUAAACCUGUGGAGACUGAUGGAAAGUUUAGGUGCCACCACCCGACGCGGCUUGAGAGACCGGGAGAUGCUGCGGAAGAGAAAAGAAGAAGCCCAGGAGAAGGAUUCGGUUCAGUGGGCUUUAGGGGAGCAGGAGAAGAUCAAGCGGCCAAGAAGAGGAGCUGGAAGAGGACGGCGCCGCCGGUCCGAGGUGAAGCCAGAACCAGAAGCCGUGCUGAAGUCAGAACUAGAGCCGGACCGUGAGCCCCUGGCGCACAAGGAGGCUGUGCUGAUGCCUGCCGUGCCAGCACACCAAGACCAGCCACCCAUGGUGGGCACCAUACAGCAGGAGACGCCCGAUGAGGUGCAGAUGGGAGCACUGGAGGGAAACGUGGCAUGUGGGAGCCAGGCUGCUCUGAGUGAUCUGCCAUCUGGGAGCCAGAUCCCUCUGGGCAAUCUGCCAUCUGGGAGCCAGAUCCCUCCGAGUGAUCUGCCAUCCGGGAGCAAGUGUCCUCCAGGUGAUCUGCCAUCUGGGAGCAAGAGUCCUACAGGUGAUCUGCCAUCUGAGAACCAGAGCCCUCUGCUUGAUCUGCCAUCUGGGAGCCAGAGCCCUCUGCUUUACCUGCCGUCUGGGAGCCAGAGUCCUCUGGGUGAGCUGCCGUCCCCACGGGGGUGUGCGGGCCCAUGGGUUGGGGCUGUGGGGGCAGAUACUGCUCCCCAAGUCAUGGGGAGGGACAAAAAGCCCUCUGCAGUCAGCAGGGUGAUUGGCUCGGGGUCUGUGGUUGCUGGUCCUAAACAGCUCGUGUGCUAAGGACGUCUCUGUGGGCUUUCUCGCACGGGGAAGAAGUGUUUGUGUCCUGAUGCACCUCCCUGGGACAACAGGUCUGGCAAAGAGACUUUGCAACAGCAACGCUGCUGGUUCACAGAGCCCAGCAGUGCCUGCCCCCAGCCCUCUGCUGCCCGAAACGAAAGCAGCCAGGGGGUCAGACGUGACCAACGUGACAGUGGGUCACCGUGCCCCACAGCUCCCUGCCAAGAGCCAGGCCAGAGCAGACGUGCUGCGAAGAGGAGGGGCAAUCUCCUGAGACCAGAGCAGGUCGGGGAGUGCCAGACACCUCCUGGCCCCGGGGCUGGAGAGGGGUGCUGAGGAGAGGAAGGGGCAGCCAGAGCUUGGGGUGUACACGUCCGCAGGGGACACGCCGUGGUGGGCUCCGAGCUGGUUGCCAGCUGGGCUCGGGAGGCCUUCCUACAGCUGUGCAAGCGUCAGGCCUGCGUGUGGUGGCCAUCAGCCCCCUCAGAGCCCCUCCAGCUCCCCGGGCACCCCCGUUUCCCUUGGUGGCGAUGUGAAGGUGACCUGUCUCUGACAUGCCUUGCAGGUGAAGAAGAAAUGCUGAAACUUGCGGAAAUGAUACCAGAAGAUGUGAACACCCCCGUGGAAGACGACAAAGCGGGCAGCUUCCCCUCAGUCCUGUAUUAGCUUUCUCUCUCCAGUCUUAAUGUUCUCACUUAAAAUUUUCUGUCUGAGAGAAACUCUCAUGAGUGUUGUAAAGAGAUUUAGAGCCCCUCCUUCCCAGUGAAUAACAAAGCCAGUGUGCUCCCAGUGCUGUUUUUGGUCUGCAGAGUGGGGCUGUGCCCCCUGCCCCUCGCUGCAGGGCGCUGUCCCCACGGGCACCUGUCCCCAUUUCUGAAAGGUGCCUCCAACCCACCUCAGGGAAAUGCCAGCCCCACGGUAAAGCUGAACCCCCCUGUGACAUCCAGCAGGCCAGAGAGCUGCGGCUUGGGCUUUUUUUUUUCUCCACUUCUGACAAACCCGGCCAUCCCUGUGCUGUUAUCUGCGGCCCAAAGGCCUUUCUCACUGUCUGCUGUCCUGAUAAACAGCUCGCUUUCCUCAGGUCUGAGGAGAGCGUUGUUUUUCCUGCAAGCCAAUUAACUCUCACCUUGCUGAGCUGCACUAGACAAAGGCAAGCAGAUCCCCAUCGCAGAACAAUGACCAGCUGAACCAUACAUGUUGGUCAGGAAAGUGCCAUUUUGGGGCAAAAACGUGAGGCCCCUCUGCACAGGUGUUGUGUCUGCAGCUCCCCUGACAACUUUCAGGCCGAGACUCCAAAGAAACACGUGCCUGUGCCAUGUACCCAGAAUUUCUGUGAAAUCAGUGAAGAACAGGGCUUCCUCUCCUCCCACAUUUCACUUCUUGGCCUUCUGGCUAAGAUCGAGUGUAGUGUGUAGAUUUCAGGACUUGUGCUCUUCUCCUCUGUGCAUGUGGGGGUGGCUUUUUUUUUUCAUUUCUGUGCACCCUGACCUAGAAGGUCUUUCUCCUGGAGAACAACACCGACAACAACAACAAAAAAUAAUUAAAUAAACUUAUGGCUGAGCAUCA